ACGUGGGCAACCUGCCUCAUAGAGGGGAAUAGCCUUCCGAAAGGGAGAUUAAUACCGCAUAAGAUUGUAGCUUCGCAUGAAGUAGCAAUUAAAGGAGCAAUCCGCUAUGAGAUGGGCCCGCGGCGCAUUAGCUAGUUGGUGAGGUAACGGCUCACCAAGGCGACGAUGCGUAGCCGACCUGAGAGGGUGAUCGGCCACAUUGGGACUGAGACACGGCCCAG
rnacentral:rRNA from 1 species